rnacentral:rRNA from 1 species
GAUCAUGGCUCAGGAUGAACGCUAGCUACAGGCUUAACACAUGCAAGUCGAGGGGCAGCAUGACGGAAGCUUGCUCUGUGAUGGCGACCGGCGCACGGGUGAGUAACGCGUAUCCAACCUGGCCCUUAGUAGGGGAUAGCCCGGCGAAAGUCGGAUUAAUACCCUAUGUUUUCCAAUGAGGACACCUGAGCUGGAACAAAGGUUUACCGCUAAGGGAUGGGGAUGCGUCUGAUUAGGUAGUAGGCGGGGUAACGGCCCACCUAGCCGACGAUCAGUAGGGGUUCUGAGAGGAAGGUCCCCCACAUUGGUACUGAGACACGGACCAAACUCCUACGGGAGGCAGCAGUGAGGAAUAUUGGUCAAUGGACGAGAGUCUGAACCAGCCAAGUAGCGUGCAGGAAUGACUGCCCUAUGGGUUGUAAACUGCUUUUAUGCGGGAAUAAAGUGAGGCACGUGUGCCUUUUUGUAUGUACCGCAUGAAUAAGGACCGGCUAAUUCCGUGCCAGCCGCCGC